UUUCCUUUCUCUGUUCAUUUUGGCUGGAGGAAGAAAAAGAGGAAUACGAGAGCCCGCCAUUGACGACCUUCUCGAGCUUCGUCGAGCUCAUCCAAGCUUCUUUUUUUCUAUCUUGUGAGCUUCUAAUUGAUUCCCUAGCUUCUGGCCAUUGCUGAUUUGAUGUUCCUCUUGCUUGUUCUUGCUGGUUUGGCUUAGUUCUAAUGUCAAGGAGUGAUCAGGUGAUGAGAGACAGAGAGACAAAAGGAGAAGGAAAGAGAGUGAGAGAGAGAGAGAGAGAACAAUAGACAGAGGAGAGAGAGAGAGUUAGCUCGGGAAGAAACAUAGUAGAGAGAGGAAGAGCAGAGCAAGGGUAUGAUAGGAGGGCUCGAGAUAUUGUUCGCAUAAGAGGAAGAAAGAAGACAGAAGAGCUAAGAGGAGAUGGGAACAAAUCAGGGAUCGAGGAAACCGAGUAUCUGGAUUCUGAAGGCUCGAACAAGUGAACUAUUCUUUUGGGAAUUGUCAGUCAUCGAUUGAAUUCAAUAUUUGCUGUCAUGUUUGUUGAUGAGGAUCGUGGGCAUGACAACGAGGCUGAUGCACACGAGCUUGGAAGUCGAACUCGUGAAGAGGGAGCUGAAGCAUAAGAUCUUGGAGACUUGCAUGUUCCAAGUGGACUAAUCACACGGGCGAAGGCCAAACAAAUCCAACAAGCUAUGGAGAGCUUGCUGAUGGGCUUUUUGGGCCAAAAAGAGUCUAAUUCAAUUGAGUCUCCAAAGGCCUUUAUUCAAUUGACUUGCCAUGAGAUGCUGAGAUGGAAUAAAAGACUGCCAACUAUUUUAGAUAGCCUUUAUUUAGUUUCCUUUGUUAUUUCUGGCUUUAGGAAACUAAGGUUAUUCCAGUUGCCUAGUUUAUUAGUUUCCAGUUUCUCAUAGGUUUAUAUAAAGGAAGCUGAUUAGCUGAUCAUAAGUAGACUAUUCUGGUAUUUUGGUGAGAUUUUCUCAUUUGUUCUUCAUUGAACUCCUUCGAACGAACAAGUGUAACAGCUUGUGAUUGUUCGAUACACUUUGAUAUUAUUGGUUCUUGUUGAUUCA